ACCAGACUCCUACGGGAGGCAGCAGUGGGGAAUAUUGCACAAUGGGGGAAACCCUGAUGCAGCGACGCCGCGUGAGUGAAGAAGUAUUUCGGUAUGUAAAGCUCUAUCAGCAGGAAAGAAAAUGACGGUACCUGACUAAGAAGCCCCGGCUAACUACGUGCCAGCAGCCGCGGUAAUACGUAGGGGGCAAGCGUUAUCCGGAUUUACUGGGUGUAAAGGGAGCGUAGACGGUGAAGCAAGUCUGAAGUGAAAGGCGGGGGCUCAACCCCCGGACUGCUUUGGAAACUGUUUGACUGGAGUGCAGGAGAGGUAAGUGGAAUUCCUAGUGUAGCGGUGAAAUGCGUAGAUAUUAGGAGGAACACCAGUGGCGAAGGCGGCCUGCUGGGCUUUAACUGACGCUGAGGCUCGAAAGUGUGGGUAGCAAACAGGAUUAGAUACCCUAGUA
rnacentral:rRNA from 1 species